CCUACAUUGACUGCUGUGACGCCUACUGCUGGAUGUUACGCGGGGGCGCGCAUGAGUUCUGUAGUAUUACAGCCAAUGACAAGCCCUCAUUUCUGUUGCAUGGCGACGCAUUUGCUUGUGAGUGUUUUCGUUCAAGGUUGAGUUGUCCAGAAGGCGCCUGCAUCAAUGUAACGAAGAGCAUUAUUACGCAAAAUAACUUAUCUGGAAAAUAUGUGUCAGUUCUUGCCGAAUGUCGGGAAAUGAAGCUGGUAAACCUCACGAGUGCGCUUGAAUGCCAAAAGAUACGCAAAAAGCAAAAGUGGUAACAGCAGGUUUGGAAUGAUGUGGGUGAGUAAAUAUUGACUAUUUCUGGGCAAAAUAUUCCUUUUAAAUCAGUUGCGUUUGGCGUAUUUUUCAAGUUCUCAGCACAUAGGAGAGAAAAGUAACAGAUUUCAGCCGGUGCUCCAGAUAACCAAAGUCUUUUGGGAAAAGGGAAAUAUUAGGCGACUCAAAAUACUGUGGAAAGUUAUUUUAAGCACAGGUUCACCUCCUAACCUCAUUUAGAGCAGUAUUCACAUUCUCUAAGAACCGGGACCACAUAGGCUUUACAACAAAUCUUUACAAUUAAUAAUGCGUUUUAUGAUUAUGCUAUAUUUUAUACAGCUAACUUUUUAUGUUUAUGUUUCUUGUUCCUUCCUAGAACAUAUAAGCUUUAUUGACUAGAAUGUCUCCUUCAAGACUAUACUCGGCAUCUGUCAUGCCUCCUCUGCCUUUAAGCUCUUUCAAUAUCUCAAGCAAUUUCUGCACAGAAGAGAAUAUUACUGAGUGCAUUCUAUACAUCAAUCAGGAGUUGGCGUCCCUGUGCUUUCCACCAAUUUUCCAAAACUCAGACAACAUCCGUGAUCUGGAUGCUGUGGUUGCCCUAAACAACAUAUAUGACUUGCUUCAGCUCCACCGUCGAGCUGUUGGAAUGAUGGAGGAGCUGGAGGUGGAGCAGCUCAAGUCCAGCAGUGACCUCCACUACCAACAUCUCACCAACUCCAGGCUAAAAGACCAGCUUGAACUUUUGAAGAAAGAAAACAUGCACUUGCACGAGCGAGAGCGUCAGCUGGAAACAAGUUUAAAGACUUUGCAGAACGGCUUAAAAGAUUCAAAAGAGGAGGUACAAAGGCUGCAGGGUAUCAUUGCAAGUCGUGCCACACAAUACAACCAUGACAUUAAGAGAAGAGAAAGGGAGCACAACAGAUUAAAGGAGCGCCUCAAUCAACUACUCAUUGCCAAAAAGGAAAAUAAACAAGGAAUGGAAGUUUUGAAUUAUGUUGGAAGGUCAGAUGGGAGGAGGUGUCUUUGGAAAACUGGAAAAACUGAAUCCAGACACGAGGGAGAGAUGUACAAAACUCUACUCUAUGAAUUUGAUAACCGUCAGAGGGAGCUAAUGGUGGAAAACAUAGAGCUAAAGAAGGUGCUUCAACAAAUGAAACACGAGAUGGUAGGGGUCUUAAAUUCAAAGAAGAUGUGCCAAAAGGAAGAGAAACAAAGCAAAAACAUGGAUCAGUUGACUCUGCAGACAAAUUCAGAUGAUGAUGAACCCUUGAAAGGACCUCCUGAGAUGUCAUGUGAUCAUGCUCGGGAGAAACUCACCAACAGCAUUCGUCAGCAGUGGAGGAAACUCAGACACCACGUGGAAAGACUGGACAGCCAAGCAUCCAUGGUGCAAGAUGGAGACAGUAAAGAGAUGAUCUCCAAACAACUCCAUGAAGAUGAGACAGAGAGGCUCAUGCAGGAAAUCCAGCAGUGCAAAGAGUUUAUUCAGACUCAACAACAACUUCUGCAACAACAGCUAAACACAUCCUGUGAUGAGGAGACUGCAGCCGUUCUGAAUGAUUCCUACAUGCUGGAAGAGAAGGAACGCUUAAAAGAAGAGUGGAGAGUGUUUGAAGAACAGAGGAAAAACUUUGAAAUCGAAAGGAGAAAUUUCACAGAGGCUGCCGUCAGAUUGGGCCACGAGGUUCUGGCUUAUACUUGGCUUUUACGGAUUUCUGAAUUCAUCUUGAUUUUAAUAGCAUUUUUUUUUUCUUAUUUCAGAGAAAAUGUUUUGAGGAUGAUCGUGCAAUGUGGCUCAAACACCAAUUUCUGAACACAACAUUUGCAGACCAAAUGAAACCACAAAGUCGCAGGACUGAAGAAUUUUCAAAGCACUCUGGUCAUGAAGAGAAACUCAUUUCAAUUUCUGGUAAAGUCAGCAAAUCUCAUCUUUAGUCCAUCCACACCCAUGGAAAUGCUUGCAGAGGAACCUACAUUUUCUUCCAACACCAGAAGUGUGACAGCUGGAACCAAUAUAAAUUAGUUUGCAUGUGAAUGAAGUCUGCGAGUAUCUAAAUGAAGAACUUUCAACAUAUGGACAUUAAUAUUAAACAGAAUCAUGUGCCAAUUGUUGACUAAAGGCUGCUGAAUCUUACAA